CAAGGAAUAGUUUAAGUAGAAUUUCAGCUUUGGGUGUU
rnacentral:tRNA from 1 species